rnacentral:rRNA from 1 species
UACGUAGGGUGCAAGCGUUGUCCGGAAUUAUUGGGCGUAAAGAGCUCGUAGGCGGUUCGUCGCGUCGGCUGUGAAAACCUGAGGCUCAACCUCAGGCCUGCAGUCGAUACGGGCAGACUAGAGUUCGGUAGGGGAGUCUGGAAUUCCUGGUGUAGCGGUGAAAUGCACAGAUAUCAGGAGGAACACCGGUGGCGAAGGCGGGACUCUGGGCCGAUACUGACGCUGAGGAGCGAAAGCGUGGGGAGCAAACAGG